CGAUAAUUAACGGAAAGUGAGAAAUUCAUUCGCAAUAUGAUAAAACGAUUUGCACAUCUUUCUUACGUUCGUUCUACUUAAGUACAUUGUUAUGGAACGGAGAACGAUCGAUCGAAGUACUUCGUCGAUUAGAUCACCAGAUGUCCUUGUGAAAUUGAACUAACGAGAUUUCCUUCGUCACUUCUAUUCCCUACGAUUUUUCAUUUUAUCUUAUAUCUUUGUUAAUUCUUCUUCUUUAUUCGUUCCUUCCUUUUCGUCAUUUGCUGUUUAAAAAUUCAACGCCAUAUAUAAGUUAUACGAUCAAAAUUUUCCUUGACAAAAAUUCUCGUUAACGAGCAUACCUAACCUAAAAAUCUACGUCAUUUUUUCUAGUUAUCUCCAACAAGCUUGCAACGAAAAAGUAUGUUCAAAAAAAGAAAAAAGAUGAAGGGGAGAAAAAUGAAGAAAAAGAAACUGACGUCGCGCAAGCUAAUUUUAGUGGACCGUGUUCCCACGAUGAUACACGGGAACGCCCUCAGAGAAUAAAUGAAAGUGCAGAAACGAUGGAUUACCCUUUUGGAUGUGAUUGAUCACGAAGACAAUGGAUUCCUUUAUUGUGGCAACAUCGUCGAUGGCCGGUCAAGUUUGGGGAUCGACGGCAGGUGAAAGCAAGGCAGAAUAUACAUUCCUCCACGGUGUCCAGCCUCUAGUAGCGCUUUUUCCGUGUAAUUACUUUAAUAAUUCGUAUCGACUUCCACUGGGAACUCCUUUCGCUGGACACGCAAGUUGGCUCGUUUUCUUGGUCUCUAUAUUUGCUAGGUAUACACAACUAUCGAUUGAACGUGGAAUUUAGGACACCUUGGUUGACUUUUCCUUACCGGAUAUUUGUUGGAAAACCGCGUUUACAAUUACACGUAUAAUCAGAAAUCUUGCGUGAUGAACUUCCAUUUUCUUCGUUACCUUGCUUGAAGCAGAAAAAAAAGAACACGAUUUGUCCUAGGACUCUAGGGAAACACUAAGGGAAGUAAUGAAAUUAUAGAGGAUUCACGCCGGAUAAGCAAACAUGACCGAGAAAUUCUCGAAAGACUUGGUUCGAUCAUUUUCAGAAACGUUAUUGGUUAAAAGAUAUUAUUACAAGAAAAAAAUAACCCUGUUUAUCAUGUAAAUUCAAUUGUUGCAAUCAAUCGUUGUAAUUAUUCUAACCUCAAAAGUAUCCACAAAUUUCAUCCACGCUUCUAUCUCAAUUAAAACGCAUUAAAUACAAA